CUAGCAAAUUAUUUAUAAAAUAUUCCCCUGCCACACGUCUAACCUCCUUCCAUUUUCAGCCCAACAAGUAGCCGCACAUUAUAACAACAUUAACAUGAAGCACAUCGGUUAAGUAUAAUGCAUGCCACGAGCAUAAUGAUGCACUCCCCAAAAAAUCGCAAUAACCAAGAAAAAAAAAUGAUGAUGGGGAGACACGCCGACUGCGAAAAUUAUUACAUACGGAGCGGGAAUUCGGCAUGAACAUGACGCGCGAUGCCACCAUAAACCGGGCGAUAACCUGGCCAAAACCGUGGUCCAAACCCAUGACCCAUUCGAUGAGCAGGAGGCGGUGACGGAGCUGUAGCUCUGAAUAAAGUAUCAUAUGCAAAAAUUUUUUGGUGGUGCAUCAAACGGGGGGUGGCAUCCACUUAAUGGCUGUUAGCCUGGCGGGCGUGCAUGGCCUGUGGAUGCCACAGCACCACCUCCUUCUCACCUAAAUGCCCCACACAUUGCCCCAAAAGUGCACUCAAGGAAAAAUAAUAUACAGUGCUACAUGCCACGUCCAUCGCUUUGGUAUCAACCUGUAAAAUGUAUAACGACAGCAUUAAGCUCGUGCCACCAGCUGGAACUGUUUCUUUUUUUAGUUGUUUCAUGGGAUUUUGUGGCUCCAACGCUACAUGAGACAACGGUACACUUGCGGCAGGUUCAGGCUUACGACCAAAAAUUUUCUCGACUGGAGCUGGAUCGUGGAGCUGGUUUCGCUUCUGGAUUUUAUUCUGUUUAUUGAGCAGCCAGGCAACCUGUUCCCCUACCAUUUUAAGUAGCAGU